rnacentral:rRNA from 1 species
UACGAAGGGGGCUAGCGUUGCUCGGAAUCACUGGGCGUAAAGCGCACGUAGGCGGCUUUUUAAGUCAGGGGUGAAAUCCUGGAGCUCAACUCCAGAACUGCCUUUGAUACUGGGAAGCUUGAGUCCGGGAGAGGUGAGUGGAACUCCGAGUGUAGAGGUGAAAUUCGUAGAUAUUCGGAAGAACACCAGUGGCGAAGGCGGCUCACUGGCCCGGUACUGACGCUGAGGUGCGAAAAGCG